UUCCUUUCGGCCGGAACCGCCAUCUUCCAGUAAUUCGCCAAAAUGACGAACACAAAGGGAAAGAGGAGAGGCACCCGAUAUAUGUUCUCUAGGCCUUUUAGAAAACAUGGAGUUGUUCCUUUGGCCACGUAUAUGCGAAUCUAUAAGAAAGGUGAUAUUGUAGACAUCAAGGGAAUGGGUACUGUUCAAAAAGGAAUGCCCCACAAGUGUUACCAUGGCAAAACUGGGAGAGUCUACAACGUUACCCAGCAUGCUGUUGGCAUUGUUGUAAACAAACAAGUUAAGGGCAAGAUUCUUGCCAAGAGAAUUAAUGUGCGUAUUGAGCACAUUAAGCACUCUAAGAGCCGAGAUAGCUUCCUGAAACGCGUGAAGGAAAAUGAUCAGAAAAAGAAAGAAGCCAAAGAGAAAGAUACCUGGGUUCAACUGACGCGCCAGCCUGCUCCACCCAGAGAAGCACACUUUGUGAGAACCAAUGGGAAGGAGCCCGAGCUGCUGGAACCUAUUCCCUAUGAAUUCAUGGCAUAAUAGGUGUUAAAAUAAAUAAAUAAAUAAAAUACCUCUGGGCUA